rnacentral:tRNA from 1 species
GCAGUCGUGGCCGAGUGGUUAAGGCGAUAGUCUUGAAAACAAUUGGGUUCAUUCCACGCAGGUUCGAACCCUGCCGACUGCG